ensembl:lncRNA
CUGGACUGGACUGGACUGGACUGGACUGGGACUGUACUGGACUGGACUGGACUGGGCUGGGACUGGACUGGACUGAGCUGGGCUGGACUGGGAGUGGACUGGACUGGACUGGGACUGGACUGGACUGGGACUGGGCUGGACUGGACUGGGACCGUACUGGACUGGACUGGACUGGGCUGGGACUGGACUGGACUGGACUGGACUGGACUGGACUGGACUGGGACUGUACUGGACUGGACUGGACUGGGCUGGGACUGGACUGGACUGAGCUGGGCUGGACUGGGAGUGGACUGGACUGGACUGGGACUGGACUGGACUGGGACUGGGCUGGACUGGACUGGGACUGGACUGGACUGGACUGGACUGGACUGGACUGGACUGGACUAGACUGGGACUGGACUGGACUGGGACUGGACUGGACUGGACUGGACUGGACUGGACUGGACUGGACUGGACUGGGACUGGGCUGGACUGGACUGGGACUGGACUGGACUGGACUGGACUGGACUGGGCUGGACUGGACUGGACUGGACUGGGACUGGACUGGACUGGGACUGGGCUGGACUGGACUGGACUGGACUGGACUGGACUGGACUGGACUGGGCUGGGACUGGACUGGACUGAGCUGGGCUGGACUGGGAGUGGACUGGACUGGACUGGGACUGGACUGGACUGGGACUGGGCUGGACUGGACUGGGACUGGACUGGACUGGACUGGACUUGACUGGGACUGGACUGGACUGGGACUGGACUGGACUGGACUGGACUGGACUGGACUGGACUGGACUGGGACUGGACUGGACUGGACUGGGCUGGACUGGACUGGACUGGGACUGGACUGGGCUGGACUGGACUGGACUGGGACUGGACUGGGCUGGACUGGGACUGGGCUGGACUGGACAGGGACUGGACUGGGCUGGACUGGACUGGACUGGACUGGGCUGGACUGGACUGGACUGGGACUGGACUGGGCUGGACUGGACUGGACUGGGACUGGACUGGGCUGGACUGGGACUGGACUGGACUGGACUGGGACUAGACUGGACUGGACUGGACUGGACUGGACUGGGACUGGGCUGGACUGGACUGGACUGGGACUGGGCUGGACUGGACUGGACUGGACUGGACUGGACUGGACUGGGACUAGACUGGACUGGACUGGACUGGACUGGGACUGGGCUGGACUGGACUGGGACUGGACUGGGCUGGACUGGGACUGGACUGGGCUGGACUGGGACUAGACUGGACUGGACUGGACUGGACUGGACUGGGACUGGGCUGGACUGGACUGGACUGGACUGGACUGGACUGGACUGGACUGGGACUAGACUGGACUGGACUGGACUGGGACUGGACUGGACUGGACUGGACUGGACUGGGACUAGACUGGACUGGACUGGACUGGACUGGACUGGACUGGACUGGACUGGGACUAGACUGGACUGGACUGGACUGGGACUGGGCUGUGGUUCUGCUGUCGCUCUCGGUUCCGACUCGGAUUCGGGGUUCUCUGCUCAGAUUUCUCUCUGGACUGCAAACGUUCUACUUUAAAAUCUGCUGCAGAAACGAGCCUGGAACAAGUUCUCUUUGGUUUUUGAGGG